GACGAAAGUACUUGGAAUGUCAUCUUUCAGAGUGAUGGAGUUGGUGGGAAAGGAAUCAUAUAUAAUUUCCAAGAAAGACUUGAGGAUGUUUCGUUCUGGCAUUCUUUGAUUUGUUUAAUUGAAGGACUGAUGACACGGAAGCCAUUUGGCUGCUCAACGCAAAUCGACAGUGGUGCGAACAAUCAGCUCUAAGCACAGAAGACUAGAAGUUAUUUGCCAAAUAUUUCAAACUCCAAACUGAUUACUAUUGAAUAACUAAAAUGAUGAAAGGAAAAGAUGUUUCGAUGUUAAUUGAUGAAAAGAACAUGAUAAGUGGAAAAGAAGACGACGAAAGUGGUUGGAGCGUCACCUUUGAAAGUGAUGGAGUUGGUGGAAAAGGCAUCAUAUAUAAUUUCCAGGAAAGACUGACGAUGUUGCGUUCUACCAUUCUUUGUUUUGUUUAAUUGAAUAGUUUGAUUUUAACAGUUUUUUUUUAAAUAAUCUAACGUGUUUCUUCAAAUGAAUUUCCCUCUAUCAUACCACCUGGGAACUACUUUGUCUCUUCCUAUCUAUUUGGUUUACACUACUGCAGUCGUCAGUUGCCACCAAAUUGUUUCUUUCUAUAUUGUAAGAGCAUGUUCAAGGAAAUAAGGUAUAAAUUAAGACAAAAUUUGACAUUGACAACCUUAGCUAACAUUAAUUUGUAUAUCCAUUUAUUCUUAGAUUUAGAAGUGGUACUUAAAUUUUCACUCAAAUUUGGUACUUAAAUUUUCACUCAAAUUUAGAUUAAGUCCCUAAACAAAAGUUCGUUAAUUGAACAAUGUGGUUGCUGUCGGUGGAGGUUUUCUGGAAUCCUCGAGGAUCCUUCCUCUCUCGAUACGUUGUGAUUGGCUCAUAUAAUGCUGUGCUGGCAACAAUUGAACAAUGUGGUUGCUGUUGGUGGAGAGGUCACCUUUCGGUGGGAUGCAUUGAAAGGUGCAGACCAUAUAGAGUGUGACAAAAGAAAAGCAAAAGUAGAACAGCAGAGAGAGAAAGCAAUGUGAAGGAUAGAGAACAAAGAGGAUCUGAUGGAGAUAAGGGAGGGGCGAGAGUGGUGAUGGAGUUGGUGGGAAGGGUAUCAUAUAUAAUAAAA